UUUAGCUUACCAUAAGUUGAACCGGCGAUUAAUCACCCAGUAGAGAAAUAUUGACUGACUUAAAACUGCUAUUAUUUGCUGAAAGAAAGACCUAUUUUCAAAAAUGUUCGGCGUACUUUCAAGAAGAAUGCUCACUCGUGCAGCUGGAGCCGCUCGCAUGAACGCAAGGAGGAACAUGGCUCAUAUCUAUUCAGAGAUGCCUAAAAAAGAAAGUGGUAAUCUCUACUUGGCAGGAAGCAUUGCUUUUUUGAUUGGUUCUGCUGCAAUGGUACAAUUGAAUGGACUCGUCACAUGGGGAAGUUCACCAGACAUGAAUGCUGCCCUGAAGAAGUAGACCAUAAAAACAAGAUGUUGAUUGUUCAGAGUUUCUCCCCAUAUUUUCAAGGAACUGUGCCAGGUCUGGAAACAAAAUAAACCACCAUCUCCAAACAAAUGAAACAAUGUGAAAUGUUCCGGUUGAUAAUAUGUUACUCUCCCAGGUAUUCAGAAGAUAACAAACUAAUUAUUGCAGGGUAAAAUAGUUCUUGCAUUAAAAACGUACUACCAUGUUCAGUAUGAUGCUCAAUAUACAAGGAUUAUGAAUUUAAGUAUUCAAAAGGUAACUCAGUGAUUAUUGCAGGGUGAUAUCAUGGUUUGAUUAAAACACACGAUAUACCAGUACUGUAAUUGUGUAUACCGUAAUAUGCUCAAAUUCAGGUGUUCAAAGUAAUAAAGUGGUUAUUGCAGGGUUUUAUGGGUCUCUAAAAGUCCUAUUUUACAACUGUACUGUCAAGGGUAAUACAUGUAUGUAUAAUGCACCAUGCACUACAAUUUAAUGCUAGUUUGAUACAGUAUUAGGAUUUCUCGGAAAACAGUGUUUUUAUACACAUAUACAGUACAUGUACAAGAACAUUAAAGAUUUUAAAGCCUUUAUUUCAUGUUAUUUCAUGUUCUAAAGAGCACAAAUUCAUGUUUAUCCAAGAAACCAGUAUGCCAAUAUCUCACCAUGCUGUAGGGAAUAUAGUGUAGAGUAAUAUAUCACUUAACCAAGAAUUAAAUGCAAUAUCACCCAUUUCCAGUGAAGUUUACCCAGUUACUCAUUAUGGUUAAUUUUGUAUUUUAAUCAUGAUCCUCAAUUGCACCAUGUACACAUAUUGUGAUAUAUUGGAGAGAAAGAAUGAACUUGUAAAUUGUAAAGCUAAUAGUGUUGGACUACAGAUUGUUGACCUAUUUAUGAGGCUACGGCCAACAGAUCAUGCAGUAAAUAGAGAUGUGUUUUAAAUGAAUAUUAAAGUGCACUGCUGAUGUUUUUAAAUGGAAUAAAUUGAAUAAAUUUGGAGUUAUUUCCAGAACAUA